CUGCCUACCAGCAGCUGUCAGUGAGGGACCACUGGGGAAGUGAUUCAGUCACGGAGAUUUACAGAAAAAUCAUUAUCUGACCAUGACCUGACCUCAAGAACAAAGGUUCUGACACCAGAGAAGUUAGCAACAACCAACAGGAGUGUGACAGGAAGGAAGGAGAGGUUCACCGCUGCCUUAAGACCUGAGCCGAGCCCUUCUCCUGCCGGUGCUUUUCCGCCUCUUCACCUGGAUGGACCCGCACCACAAUUCAGACCAUAAGUUGCCUUCUCCCCAUUUAAGAUCUGAGAUCCCGAACAGGGAAGUGGCU
ensembl:lncRNA